GAUGAAGAACGUAGCGAAAUGCGAUACGUAAUGUGAAUUGCAGAAUUCAGUGAAUCAUCGAAUCUUUGAACGCAUAUUGCGCUCUCUGGUAUUCCGGAGAGCAUGCUUGUUUGAGUAUCAGUAAACACCUCAACUUCCAUAUCUUUUUUGAAAUGGGAGUUGGACUUGAGUGAUCCCAACGCUUUUCCUCACCGAAAAGUGGCGGGUUACUUGAAAUGCAGGUGCAGCUGGACUUUUCUCUGAGCUAUACGCAUAUCUAUUUAGUCUGCCUAAAAAACAGAUUAUUACCUUUGCUGCAGCUAACAUAAAGGAGAUUAGUUCUUGUGCUGACUGAUGCAGGAUUCACAAAAACGGCUUCGGCCGACUUUGUAAACUCGAUCUCAAAUCAAGUAAGACUACCCGCUGAACUUAAGCAUAUCAAUAAGCGGAGGA
rnacentral:misc_RNA from 1 species